rnacentral:lncRNA from 1 species
UUCAUCCCAGAAGACUCUUAUCAAUAGUAAGUCAGGGCUCUUAUUCAGGAAAGUGAAACCAAGGAUGCUAAGAUAGCUAGGCUAAAGGAUCCUGUGACAGAGGUGGAAUAUGAGAGAAAUGCUCUAAGAACUGAGCUUGUCAAGGAAAAGGAGAAAGAAUGAUUGAAUUCUUCAUAAUAUGUUGAAUCUUCUACACCAACCCUCUAGCACCCCCAAGCCUUAGGAAUUCUAGCCUCUAUCUCCUGAACAUCUCUAGUACCUUCAG